GACGAACGCUGGCGGCGUGCUUAACACAUGCAAGUCGAACGGAAAGGCCCUGCGUUUGUGGGGUUCUCGAUUGGCGAACGGGUGAGUAACACGUGAGUAACCUGCCCUUGUCUGUGUGAUAAAUUUAGGAAACUGGGGCUAAUACCGGAGAGGAUCUCCUGAUGCAUGGUGUGGGUUGGAAAGUUUCGGCUGUUGGGGUUGGACUCGCCGCGGAUCAGCUUGUUUGUCGAGUAGGGGCUUACCAAGGGUUUGACGGGUAGCCGGCCUGAGAGGGUGACCGGCCACCGUGGGACUGCGAGACGCACCAGAAUCGUACGGGAGGCAGCAGUGGGGAAUAUUGCACAAUGGGCGGAAGCCUGAUGCAGCAACGCCGCGUGCGGGAUGCCGGCCUUCGGGUUGUAAACCGCUUUCGCCUGUGCCGAAGAGUGAGUGACGGUAAUGGGUAAAAAAGCACCGGCUAACUACGUG
rnacentral:rRNA from 1 species